CAUAGCGGGUGAUAGAGGGUAGUGCCUGUCUUUCACUGGCUCUGCUCCGCUGACCAAUUCAAUACGCUUUUGUUGUUCAUUUAAUUCCCACAUAUCUGGUUCCGGCUUUACUUCAUCCUGGUCCACAUAAUGCGCCACUCUAUCAGCUAGCAAUUCAUCGAGGACAAGUCUUUCAACGGCAGGCUUUUCCGGAGGAAUUAAUCGUGGAGCCAAAUUAAACAGCCGCCAAAAGUCGAUGCCGAAAUACGCGUUCUGCCCGAGCGAUGGGCAUACAUAAAACUCCACCUCUUUGGUAUCCUCUCGAUACUUUACUGUUCAAGACUGCCCUUGCCUAGCACGCUUACCGAGGCCCCGGUAUCCAGCAAACCGCGUAACACAUGGCCUCGUACCAGUACUUCGGCAAAAAUCCUCGGGUCUGCUGCUCCUUCGCGUCGCACUGCCUCGGCUACCAGCUUCUUCGUCUGCCUUCUUACUCGGAAUCGUGCUCGGGCCUUUUUAACUUUGGCGGUCACCAUCCU